rnacentral:rRNA from 1 species
CCUACGGGAGGCAGCAGUGGGGAAUUUUGGACAAUGGGCGCAAGCCUGAUCCAGCAAUGCCGCGUGAGUGAAGAAGGCCUUCGGGUUGUAAAGCUCUUUUGUCAGGGAAGAAACGGUGGGGGCUAAUAUCUCCUACUAAUGACGGUACCUGAAGAAUAAGCACCGGCUAACUACGUGCCAGCAGCCGCGGUAAUACGUAGGGUGCAAGCGUUAAUCGGAAUUACUGGGCGUAAAGCGUGCGCAGGCGGUUUUGUAAGUCUGUCGUGAAAGCCCCGGGCUCAACCUGGGAAUUGCGAUGGAGACUGCAAGGCUUGAAUCUGGCAGAGGGGGGUAGAAUUCCACGUGUAGCAGUGAAAUGCGUAGAGAUGUGGAGGAACACCGAUGGCGAAGGCAGCCCCCUGGGUCAAGAUUGACGCUCAUGCACGAAAGCGUGGGGAGCAAACAGGAUUAGAUACCCUGGUAGUCCACGCCCUAAACGAUGUCUACUAGUUGUCGGGUUUUAAUUAACUUGGUAACGCAGCUAACGCGUGAAGUAGACCGCCUGGGGAUACGGUCGCAAGAUUAAAACUCAAAUGAAUUGACGG